AUUGAACGCUGGCGGCAGGCCUAACACAUGCAAGUCGAGCGGAUGAAGGGAGCUUGCUCCUGGAUUCCGCGGCGGACGGGUGAGUAAUGCCUAGGAAUCUGCCUGGUAGUGGGGGAUAACGUCCGGAAACGGGCGCUAAUACCGCAUACGUCCUGAGGGAGAAAGUGGGGGAUCUUCGGACCUCACGCUAUCAGAUGAGCCUAGGUCGGAUUAGCUAGUUGGUGGGGUAAAGGCCUACCAAGGCGACGAUCCGUAACUGGUCUGAGAGGAUGAUCAGUCACACUGGAACUGAGACACGGUCCAGACUCCUACGGGAGGCAGCAGUGGGGAAUAUUGGACAAUGGGCGAAAGCCUUAUCCAGCCAUGCCGCGUGUGUGAAGAAGGUCUUCGGAUUGUAAAGCACUUUAAGUUGGGAGGAAGGGCAGUAAGUUAAUACCUUGCUGUUUUGACGUUACCAACAGAAUAAGCACCGGCUAACUUCGUG
rnacentral:rRNA from 1 species